rnacentral:rRNA from 1 species
GAUGAACGCUAGCGGCAGGCUUAAUACAUGCAAGUCGAGGGGCAGCGCGGGUAGCAAUACCUGGCGGCGACCGGCAAACGGGUGCGGAACACGUACAGAACCUUCCUUUAAGCGGGGGAUAGCCCAUAGAAAUGUGGAUUAAUACCCCAUAGUAAUAUUAGUUGGCAUCAAUUGAUAUUUAAAGAUUUAUCACUUAAAGAUGGCUGUGCGGCUGAUUAGGUAGUUGGUGUGGGUAACGGCCCACCAAGCCAGCGAUCAGUAACUGGUGUGAGAGCACGACCAGUCACACGGGCACUGAGACACGGGCCCGACUCCUACGGGAGGCAGCAGUAAGGAAUAUUGGUCAAUGGACGCAAGUCUGAACCAGCCAUGCCGCGUGAAGGAUGAA